CAUCAUUCAACGAAGGGUUUUAAGUUUCACAAGAAAGGGGUCGGUGACCCAUCUGCAAAAUAAUCACCUCUUUAUCUUCACGCUCUAUCUCCUUGGUCUUCUCUCUUGGAAAUCAAAGGCAAGGACGGAGGGUGACACGGAGAGGGUUGUGCUACUUUGCUCCUUUUCAUGCUCCUAGUCCUACAGGUGCCAUCUCUUCACACCACGCUCCUUGUCCUGCCUCUUCUCCUCCAACCUCCGCAGGUCCAAGAGGUCACAGCAGUUCUUCCCCUACACUGUGUCGGCUCUCCACUUUGGCGGAAGCACCCCACGUCACUGCUACGCUUGAGGCGGGGCUUUCCUAUAACUUCCGUCCACACAGUCUCCACCUCCCUCGUCGAGAGAGGUAUGGAUAAGAAGAACGAAGCAUGGUUGAUUCGCCUAAGGCGUUUCUCUCCUUCUUUCUCAUGCCGAUUUUAAAGAAUUGAUUUUGAUUUUAGUUUUACAUUGCAAGAACCCUUUUGUUAUUUUUCUUGAUGCCAGUUGAAUUUUUGCUUGAUUUUUCUAGCAGAUUUCUUUUGUUUCCAGAGAUUGAUUCAUCAAUGCUUUGAACGUUUUUUCCUUUUGGUUAAUAGUACAUCUUAUGUUUACCUAAUUUGUUGAUCUUGACUUUUCUUCACUAGUUGGUUGUAGACUCCAUUUGAUUUCCAUCAAUUAGGUUGAUGGCGUAUGAUGGAUCAAGUUAAAUUAGAAAAUUGAACAUCAGUAUUAGAUAGUGCAUUAGAGGUGCAUAUUCACUUGUCUAUGGAAACUGUAGUUGUAAAAAGGAUUAGAAAUGCUAUAUACUUUAUUUAUCACUACUGAUUUAAGGCUCUGUUUAUUUAUGCUAUCUACUUCAAUUUCUCUCUUUGCUAGCUCUGGAUUUUUCUUCUGUUUCCUUGUUAUUUUAUCAUAUGGCCAAUUAUGUCUUGUGCUCUACUUAUCUUCAAUUAUUGGAGCUUAUAUUGAGCUUGCUUUUUACUCAAUUAGAUAUUCAUACUACUUUAUUUAGUAGAGUUUCUUGACAUGUCCAUUUUGCCAACAAAAAAAUAUGUUAAGAUGAGUAUUUUGAUGGUUGAUUUGAUAUUAUGACUCUUCAUGAAUAUCUGCAGCAAAUGGUUAUUUCACCUUGAAUAUUUUAAGUUGUGAUUAAUCAUUUUCUUUGUUUUUGCCCUUUUCAACCUGUCCAAUCUUAUAAUACAACUUGUAGUAAGGCUAACGUCUUUUUCCUUGAACUUUGCCCUUGCGUUGAAAAUUAUUGCAUUUUAAUUUAUAUAUCAUGUGAAGGGAAUAGGUAUAUAUAUAUUUUCAUGAAAGCGUUUAUCUUAUGAUGUGUUUAGUUGAACAAAAGUGAAAGAGAAUAACAUAAUUCGCUGCUUUUCAAUUUAAUUAUAUUUCUUCUCUCCUAAUUCCUCUGCUUCAAGUCAACACAGUAUUAAAGGAAUUUCAUUUGACUCAUGAUUCCUUUUCAUGAUAUCUAAAUAAUACACUGAUCUUACAGGUAUCUUUUUGAACAAAAGUCUAUUACCCAAAUAUUAACAACAACAACAUCUUCCUUGGCAUUCUAUUAUUACUACUAAACAUGUAUAUCAAACCAAAUGUUAUUUAUGCAUGUCGAGAAAUACCUAUAUGACAUUCAAAUACCUAGAUUUGUAAUUGGGGAUUGAUGAAUUUAACUAUUUCUUUUCAAAUUUUAACUCUAGGUUCGAGAAAGAGGUCACCAUAGAAUCAUUAUAAGGUUAUAGAUAUAUUAGGAAAAUGACCUCUUCUAGCUACAUGGUUGGUAUGCUUUCUAGUGUCAUAACUAUGCAUGAUGAUUCAUUAGUGAUUUAUCUAACAACUUUAUUUUCAUACUUCUAUUAAUAUUUUCAGAACUACUAUUUCUAAGGUCAUAAAUCUUAAUACAUCCUGAUUAAUUUAUUAUUAUUUGAUUGAAGCAAAAUCUCAAACCAAGUUAUUAACAUUAUACUUUUUAUAUUUCAGUUUGUAGUUUACAUGAGGUAUGUUGUCUUAAAUACAAUAUUUGUUCACAUGCUAUGCUUUGUUCACAAUAUUUGUUCACAUGCUAUGCUUUGUUCACAAUAUUUGUUCACAUGCUUUUGUUUUGAUUUACAUGUGGUAUAUUUAGAUUUAUCAUUAUUUUGUCAUUACCUUAUAAUUACCUUGUAGUUACCUUUACAAAUACUUGAAGAAAGAAAAUAGAGCCGAGUAUGUUUCAUUUGUAGAUUUUGGUUAUAUACCUACAUAUGGUGUGAGCAAAGAAGACAGUAAAUUGUUACAACAUAUUGCUGCUUAGUUUGGAGCAUCAAACAGAGAUAAUAUCUGCUUCAUCCGAUACAACACUGGUGGAGUCAAAGAUAUACAAUGCAUCAAGGGGUAUUUCAAAAGGAUCAAGUUUUAAACAAUUGACGUUACCUUUACAAAUACUUGAAGAAAGAAAAUAGAGCUGAGUAUGUCUCAUUUGUGGAUCUUGGUCACAUACCAACAUGUAGUGUGGGCAAAGAAGACAGUAAAUUGUCACAACAUAUUGUUGAGCAGUUGAGAGCAUCAAACAGAGAUAGUAUCUGCUUCAUUCCAUAUAACACUCAGUACCAUUGGAUCCUAACUAUAAUUAAUGAAGAUAAGAAUAUGAUAUAUUUAUUGGACUCUUUGAGUAAUAGGAAUCGAGAUCAUGCUUAGCAAACUAUUGUGACCAAAUAGCGGGGUCAAGUUAUCCAAUGCAUCAAGGGGUAUUUCAAAAGGAUUUGGUUUUAAACAAUUGACGGGUAAUCUAAAAGAAAAAGGUGGUGUUGAAUGUGGAUAUUGUAUAAUGCGGUACAUGAAAGAGAUAGUUUUGGAUGAAUAUCUCUAAUUGGAGAUGAAGUUUGCAACAUCAAAAAACAAACAGUAUUACAAUCAAUCACAGUAUGAUGAAGUCAGAAGUGAAUGGAGAGAAUUCCUCUACUUCUAUAUAGAUGCUUAAGUGUAGGUUGUGAUAUAAAUUUUGGAUUGUAUUUAGAGAUUUAUGGAUACAAAAAUUUUUGGGUUAUGGUUAAACAUGUCUUUUAUGAAUACACUGUUGGAUUGUAUUUGAUACAUAUUUAUGAUAUAUUUGUUCAAUUUUGAUAGUGAAAAAUAUUGUGU